GACGAACGCUGGCGGCGUGCUUAACACAUGCAAGUCGAACGGUGAAGCGCCUUCCUUUUUGGUGGGUGUGGAUGAGUGGCGAACGGGUGAGUAACACGUGAGUAACCUGCCCCCUUCUUCUGGAUAACCGCAUGAAAGUGUGGCUAAUACGGGAUAUUCUGGGUCUGUCGCAUGAUGGGUCUGGGAAAGAUAUUGUUUCGGUGGGGGAUGGGCUCGCGGCCUAUCAGCUUGUUGGUGGGGUGAUGGCCUACCAAGGCGGUGACGGGUAGCCGGCCUGAGAGGGUGGACGGUCACACUGGGACUGAGACACGGCCCAGACUCCUACGGGAGGCAGCAGUAGGGAAUAUUGCACAAUGGGCGCAAGCCUGAUGCAGCGAAGCCGCGUGAGGGAUGGAGGCCUUCGGGUUGUGAACCUCUUUCGCCAGUGAAGCAGGCCUGCCUCGUUUGUGGGUGGGUUGACGGUAGCUGGAGAAGAAGCGCCGGCUAACUACGUG
rnacentral:rRNA from 1 species